GCGCGAAACCUUUACGAAUGCGGGCAACCGUGAUAAGGAAACCCCGAGUGCCCGUAAACGCGGGCUGUCCAUCUGUAUAAAAAGCAGGUGAAGAAAGGGCCGGGCAAGACCGGUGCCAGCCGCCGCGGUAAUACCGGCGGCUCGAGUGGUGGCCACUAUUACUGGGCUUAAAGGGUCCGUAGCUUGAGCAAUAAGUCCCUUGGGAAAUUCAGCAGCUUAACUGGUGAUAGUUCAGGGGACACUGUUGUUCUAGGGAUCGGGAGAGGUAAGAGGUACUGCCGGGGUAGGAGUGAAAUCCUGUAAUCCCGGUGGGACCACCGAUGGCGAAGGCAUCUUACCAGAACGACUCCGACAGUGAGGGACGAAAGCUGGGGGAGCAAACCGGAUUAGAUACCCGGGUAGUCCCCAGCCGUAAACGAUGCGCGUUAGGUGUGUCAGUGACCACGUGUCACUGAGGUGCCGAAGGGAACCGUGAAACGUGCCGCCUGGGAAGUACGGUCGCAAGGCUGAAACUUAAAGGAAUUGGCGGGGGA
rnacentral:rRNA from 1 species